GAUGAACGCUGGCGGCGUGCCUAAUACAUGCAAGUCGAGCGAACAGACGAGGAGCUUGCUCCUCUUACGUUAGCGGCGGACGGGUGAGUAACACGUGGAUAACCUACCUAUAAGACUGGGAUAACUUCGGGAAACCGGAGCUAAUACCGGAUAAUAUAUUGAACCGCAUGGUUCAAUUGUGAAAGACGGUUUUGCUGUCACUUAUAGAUGGAUCCGCGCCGCAUUAGCUAGUUGGUAAGGUAACGGCUUACCAAGGCAACGAUGCGUAGCCGACCUGAGCGGGUGAUCGGCCACACUGGAACUGAGACACGGUCCAGACUCCUACGGGAGGCAGCAGUAGGGAAUCUUCCGCAAUGGGCGAAAGCCUGACGGAGCAACGCCGCGUGAGUGAUGAAGGUCUUCGGAUCGUAAAACUCUGUUAUUAGGGAAGAACAAAUGUGUAAGUAACUAUGCACGUCUUGACGGUACCUAAUCAGAAAGCCACGGCUAACUACGUG
rnacentral:rRNA from 1 species